rnacentral:rRNA from 1 species
AACGUAGGACGCAAGCGUUAUCCGGAAUACUGGGCGUAAAGCGCGCGCAGGCGGGUCAGCAAGUCAUGUGUGAAAGCUCCCGGCUAAACUGGGAGAGGACGGAUGAAACUGCUGGUCUUGAGGGUGUUAGAGGAGUGUGGAAUUCCGCGUGUAGUGGUGAAAUGCGUAGAUAUGCGGAGGAACACCGGAGGCGAAGGCGGCACUCUGGGACACACCUGACGCUGAGGCGCGAAAGCAUGGGUAGCGAACGGGAUUAGAUACCCCUGUA